rnacentral:rRNA from 1 species
CUGGUAGGCGGCUCAGCAAGUCGGCCGUGAAAACCCGGGGCUCAACCCCGGGACGCCGGUCGAAACUGCUGUGGCUAGGGUCCGGUAGAGGAGAGUGGAAUUCCCGGUGUAGCGGUGAAAUGCGCAGAUAUCGGGAGGAACACCAGUAGCGAAGGCGGCUCUCUGGGCCGGUACCGACGCUGAGGAGCGAAAGCUAGGGGAGCAAACAGGAUUAGAUACCCUGGUAGUCC